CAUAUGGUGCUAAGUAUGGAAAGGUCUCUUGUGGUUUGGUUGUGCCAGAGACAAAUGUGCAUUAUUUCCAUGUUGGGUCAGAAGUCUCGGUACACUUUAGGUGAGUGACAGUUGGGUAGAUGGAUGACCUUCAGAUAGUUUAAGUGAAGAAGUUCUUUUAAAUGAUUGAAAGUGAUCAUCAUAGAAUCAACUCCAUUAUGAAGAUAAAUUGUGAGAGUCAGCACUCCUGAGAGAUCUGAGUACCCAGCCUACUGUUGAAUUAAUUAGUGACCCAGAAAAGAUGACAGAGAGGGGAAUCAAAUAUGGAUGCCAUCAUGAUCAAGAAUAUAUACAUUGACUAGAAAAUAUCUGAAAAUAUAUUGAUGAACAUUCAAGCAUUUAUAAUAAUGAAAGUUAUUCCGCA